CCAAUUGUUGGGUUCGAGAGCGUGAAAACGAGAAACCCAGAAAACAGAGAAAAGUAGAAGAGAGAGAACAGAGCGAGAUUGUGAAUCUGAAUAUUAUGAGAAAAGUUACAGAGAAGGAGGAGUUGGUUACAAUAUAUAACCAACUCAAGCACAGAAAAGAACACAACAAACAAGACCGAAACAACAAAAGCAACCGGACGAGCAAACCUGAUGGUCUAUAAACCGUUCGGAUAACCGUUCGGCAUACAAUGAAGUCAAGUCUAAAUAACAAUUCCAAG
rnacentral:lncRNA from 1 species